rnacentral:rRNA from 1 species
AUUGAACGCUGGCGGCAGGCCUAACACAUGCAAGUCGAGCGAGAGGCGGACGGGUGAGUAAUGUAUGGGGAUCUGCCCGAUAGAGGGGGAUAACUACUGGAAACGGUGGCUAAUACCGCAUACUAUCGGAUGUACCCAGAUGGGAUUAGCUAGUAGGUGGGGUAAAGGCUCACCUAGGCGACGAUCUCUAGCUGGUCUGAGAGGAUGAUCAGCCACACGGGAACGGAGAAACGGCCCAGACUCCUACGGGAGGCAGCAGUGGGGAAUAUUGCACAAGGGGCGCAAGCCUGAUGCAGCCAGGCCGCGUGUAUGAAGAAGGCCUUAGGGUUGUAAAGUACUUUCAGCGGGGAGGCGUUACCCGCAGAAGAAGCACCGGCUAACUCCGUGCCAGCCGCCGCGGUAAUAC